GGUAGAGUAACGCGUGAGUAACCUGCCUUACACAAGGGGAUAGCCUUUGGAAACGAAGAAUAAUACCCUAUAAAACCAUAAAAGCACAUGCUAGAAUGGUCAAAGUGAUAGCGGUGUAAGAUGGACUUGCGUCUGAUUAGCUAGUUGGUGAGAUAAAAGCUCACCAAGGCAACGAUCAGUAGCCGGCUUGAGAGAGUGUACGGCCACAUUGGGACUGAGACACGGCCCAG
rnacentral:rRNA from 1 species